rnacentral:rRNA from 1 species
CAUGCAAGUCGAACGGUAACAGGAAACAGCUUGCUGUUUCGCUGACGAGUGGCGGACGGGUGAGUAAUGUCUGGGAAACUGCCUGAUGGAGGGGGAUAACUACUGGAAACGGUAGCUAAUACCGCAUAAUGUCGCAAGACCAAAGAGGGGGACCUUCGGGCCUCUUGCCAUCGGAUGUGCCCAGAUGGGAUUAGCUUGUUGGUGGGGUAACGGCUCACCAAGGCGACGAUCCCUAGCUGGUCUGAGAGGAUGACCAGCCACACUGGAACUGAGACACGGUCCAGACUCCUACGGGAGGCAGCAGUGGGGAAUAUUGCACAAUGGGCGCAAGCCUGAUGCAGCCAUGCCGCGUGUAUGAAGAAGGCCUUCGGGUUGUAAAGUACUUUCAGCGGGGAGGAAGGGAGUAAAGUUAAUACCUUUGCUCAUUGACGUUACCCGCAGAAGAAGCACCGGCUAACUCCGUGCCAGCAGCCGCGGUAAUACGGAGGGUGCAAGCGUUAAUCGGAAUUACUGGGCGUAAAGCGCACGCAGGCGGUUUGUUAAGUCAGAUGUGAAAUCCCCGGGCUCAACCUGGGAACUGCAUCUGAUACUGGCAAGCUUGAGUCUCGUAGAGGGGGGUAGAAUUCCAGGUGUAGCGGUGAAAUGCGUAGAGAUCUGGAGGAAUACCGGUGGCGAAGGCGGCCCCCUGGACGAAGACUGACGCUCAGGUGCGAAAGCGUGGGGAGCAAACAGGAUUAGAUACCCUGGUAGUCCACGCCGUAAACGAUGUCGACUUGGAGGUUGUGCCCUUGAGGCGUGGCUUCCGGAGCUAACGCGUUAAGUCGACCGCCUGGGGAGUACGGCCGCAAGGUUAAAACUCAAAUGAAUUGACGGGGGCCCGCACAAGCGGUGGAGCAUGUGGUUUAAUUCGAUGCAACGCGAAGAACCUUACCUGGUCUUGACAUCCACGGAAGUUUUCAGAGAUGAGAAUGUGCCUUCGGGAACCGUGAGACAGGUGCUGCAUGGCUGUCGUCAGCUCGUGUUGUGAAAUGUUGGGUUAAGUCCCGCAACGAGCGCAACCCUUAUCCUUUGUUGCCAGCGGUCCGGCCGGGAACUCAAAGGAGACUGCCAGUGAUAAACUGGAGGAAGGUGGGGAUGACGUCAAGUCAUCAUGGCCCUUACGACCAGGGCUACACACGUGCUACAAUGGCGCAUACAAAGAGAAGCGACCUCGCGAGAGCAAGCGGACCUCAUAAAGUGCGUCGUAGUCCGGAAUGGAGUCUGCAACUCGACUCCAUGAAGUCGGAAUCGCUAGUAAUCGUGGAUCAGAGUGCCACGGUGAAUACGUUCCCGGGCCUUGUACACACCGCCCGUCACACCAUGGGAGUGGGUUGCAAAAGAAGUAGGUAGCUUAACCUUCGGGAGGGCGCUACC